GUGUUGCCAACAGCUAGGACGGGUAGAAGGGCCCAGGGCUUCUCUCCGGUGGGCUGGGGUCUCUGAUCUUCCUUAGUCCAGGCUUAUUCACAUGGCAGUGGAAGUUCCCAAGAAAGACAAUGGGAGCAGGUCCCACCCAUUACCCAAACUAAAUAGUAGUGCUGACGACACCCUCUUGGUGCUCAGGAAGAGCUCUACUCAUACUGGACACACUUCUCUGAAAUUGUCCUGGCCACCAAAGAUUUAUUACGAAUGGAGGAGAUAAAAUGGAGCGUCUUCCAGAGCUGUUUCUUCCUCUUUUUUCCUUUUUCUUCUGUGAACUGAACACCAUCAGGUAUAGACUGGCUUCAGCACGCCACCGGGAAUCAUCUGCUCCAGACUUUGUUGAUUUAAUUAAGUGACCUGCAGUGCAGCCCUCAUGGGAAUAUGUAAACACAAACCACAUAUAAGCUGAGGACUCUUGGCCUCUUGGUUUUUAUUCAUAAAGUUACUGGCCCUCAUUAAAAUUUUUCUUCCCUAAAAAACGAUGCA